rnacentral:rRNA from 1 species
AAUGAACGUUGGCGGCAUGGAUUAGGCAUGCAAGUCGAGCGAGAACCGUAGCAAUACGGGGACAGCGGCGAAAGGGAGAGUAAUGUGUGGAUAUCUACCUCCAGGCCUGGGACAACUACGGGAAACUGUAGCUAAUACCAGAUAAUGUCUGCGGGCCAAAGGUGUGAUUCCUCCGGGAGAUGAGUCCACAUCCUAUUAGCUAGUUGGUAGGGUAAUGGCCUACCAAGGCAAUGAUGGGUAGCAGGUGUGAGAGCGCGACCUGCCUCAUUGGGACUGGGACACUGCCCAGACACCUACGGGUGGCUGCAGUCGAGAAUCUUCGGCAAUGGGCGCAAGCCUGACCGAGCGAUGCCGCGUGCGGGAUGAAGGCCUUCGGGUUGUAAACCGCUGUCAGAGGGGAUGAAAUACGUCGGGGGUUCUCCCCCGGGUUUGACAUAUCCUCAGAGGAAGGACGGGCUAAGUUCGUGCCAGCAGCCGCCGCCG